UAGCAGUAAGCUCAUCAAUGAUGUCUGGGAUAAGAUGAACAUCUUUAUAAAAAAACAUCCAAUAAGAGGAUUACCUGGAAGAUGGUGUUGGUGAUUGCGGAACCUGAAUCGUUCAUCAUAAAAGGUGAUCAUUUAUCUACAGAUUAUACUGAUAUUCAGCUCCAUACAUGACAAUCAAUCUUUUAUCUACUGGAUCUCACAAUUAUAUAGAGUUAAAGGUGAUAAUUUCAGGACAAACCUUAUCAUCAAGAAGGAGAUGUCCAUUCCAUCAGCUCUCCCCCCGUUCGGGUUUCCCAGAAUCGCAUAAGACGGAGUGCGCGACGACGGUAUCAGAACAACGGCCGGUGGUAGCAUCAGGAAAAAAAGUUUCGUAAGCCACCAUCAUGCAGGCUGCGUCGUAAGAAAUAGAUGAUUUUGUUUAAGCAGCGUGAUUUUGAAUUUUUGAUAUCUCAAACGACUUUUAUAGAUUUCUUUUUUGGGUUUUCAUUUGGACUUUUGAGAAGGAGGCAAUUGAAUCGAAUAAAUCGGAGUGCGAGUGACUGAAAGACCGAUUUAAUGGUGAGAAGUGAAGACAAACUCUCAUCUAUGGAAAGCGUUACCGAUAUGGAACUCAAGCGCCUGAGGAUCUGAGAGAUCGUGAACAGUUUACAGAAACGCAGGAGGAGAGUUGACGAUAUAAGCCCAUCAGAUCUCUAAAUAAAUGAAGUGUUGCGUUUUGUUAAAGAAAGACAUGUGUCAACAGCAUAGAAGUCGACUUUGUGACCUGGAUCUGAUGUGGCAUCACCAGGAGGGAUACAAACCCUUUUUUAUAUAUAAAGAUAG
rnacentral:lncRNA from 1 species